rnacentral:tRNA from 1 species
AAGAUGGUACCGGGUAAAAUAAGAGCUUCUAACUCAAAUUUGAUGGUUCAACUCCAAUCUCAUCUUU